GGGCAUUCACCUGCAAAACCAUGAAACCUAGGCAGCAAAUGUAUCAGUCUAGUGUUGAAAACACAACGAAUGUCCUCCUCAUCAAGUGGAAACGGCUCCCUAGGAGCACUCUCAUGAGAUGGAGGAGGAACCUUACUGUUCUCAACAUAGAAAUCAACAGGAGAAUCAUAAUCAUAGGCAUAGGCAGAAGAAACAGUAUCCACAUAACCAAAAUAGGUAGACAUGGGAAAGAAGGGAAAAGAAGAAUGCAAUGAAAAUAUACAACUAAAGCUACCUAAAUGCAACACACAAUGACGAACACACAAAAUAGAGCAUCACAUUCACCACACGAGACUGUUGAUAUCGGAGGGGGUAUUUUUCAAAGAGUGUAACGCAGCGGAAUAAAACUUAUAGUAAGCGUAACGCGUGUUCGGUCACAGUUAAAACGAAAUUGGUCCUUUUUAGCAAAAAUAAUUUUCUUUCAGAAAAUUAAUCAAACAGUUGAUAUGCGUAAAGUAAAAAGAGUGUAGGGAAUAGAAAAAUCACACGAGUAUUUUUAUAUUGGUUCGAUUCAACAGAAUCUACGUCCAGUCGUUAAUCAC
rnacentral:lncRNA from 1 species